UGCAGCCUCGUCCUGCCAGGCCGCGUCUUUGGCCAGGGGGCCACUGCUCUGUCUGCGGGCCUCUAGCGCACGGCUCCUCCGCGUCGACCCUCCUGCCCUUCACAGCCUCGGCCCGUAAGGUCACUCUUGUUACCUUACGGAUCAAGGCCUCAAAAUGAAGACAGGCUUGUCUCAUCCCACCUGUGCCUCUUCUGAGAGAAGCUGUGAGACUGAGCGGGAGCUGAAGAUAAGAGGUUGACUUGGGACAAGGACACCACACGGUGAUGGCUGUAGAAACAAGGGAACUCCAGUAGGAUGAGGAAUUCCUAGGGAUUCCAAGAAGGAAUAGCAGGGCCAGCUAUCACAAGAAGUGGAAUCUGAAGGGCCUCAGGCAGGGGCUGAGACAGCACCCAGGCGGCCUCGUAGGUUUUGGUCAGAGACUGUGCACCCCACUCACCAUUGCCAGGAGGGGCAUCCACCCAGGCGUCCACGAACAGAAGGAUACAUGUGAAGAGGUGCAGCUAACCUGAUGCAAUGCGAUUCAGCCAAAGGGGAGUGGCACUCUGGUCCAUGGACCUUGCUUGGGGAGGCACUUUGAGAACACUGUUUCAAGUGAAAGAAGCCAGACACAAAAGGAAAGUAGUGUAUGAUUCUAGCUAUGUGGAAAUGUCCAGAACAGGCACAUCUACAGAGACAGAAAGCAGCUGAGUGACCACCAGGGGCUGCGCGCGGAGGGGAAAAUGGGGAUGGCAUCUGACGGGAAUGAGGUUUCUUUGGGGUAUGAGAAUGUUUGGGGAGUAGAUAGAGGCGAUGGCUGUGUGACAUUGUGGAUGCACCAAAUGCCACUGAAUUUACUCUUUAAUGGUUAAUUGUACAUUGUGUGGAUUUCACCAAAAUUUAAAGAAGAAAUUGACCAUGAGAGCAAAAUCUGUCCCAGCCAUGGAAACCCCCGGCUCACCUAGGUAUCACUUAAGCCGAACUCUCCAGCCCCUUGCUGGUCUCCUUCCCCAGCCCAGACUGACAAAUAGCAGGUCCUGGAGACAUCUGGGCAGCAUCCGCCACACACCAUUUCCACAGAGCACAUGCCAGGGGCCCUGGCACAAGCGGGACAGAGUUGAGGGAGACCACCGCAGAGAGCUGCAGGAUAGACACUGUCACUCACGAAGCUCCUUUAAUAUUUUCCAGUAGCCACACUUAAAAAGUAAAAAGAGGGCCGGGCGCAGUGGCUCACGCCUGUAAUCCCAGCACUUUGGGAGGCUGAGGCGGGUGGAUCACGAGGUCAAGAGAUCGAGACCAUCCUGGUCAACAUGGUGAAACCCUGUCUCUACUAAAAAUACAAAAAAUUAGCUGGGCACGGUGGCGUGUGCCUAUAGUCCCAGCUACUCAGGAGGCUGAGGCAGGAGAAUUGCUUGA